rnacentral:rRNA from 1 species
GAUGAACGCUAGCGGCAGGCCUAAUACAUGCAAGUCGAGGGGUAGAAGAGGCUUGCUUCUUUGAGACCGGCGCACGGGUGCGUAACGCGUAUGCAACCUACCCUCAUCUGGGGGAUAGCCCGGAGAAAUCCGGAUUAAUACCGCAUAAAAUCACAGGAUGGCAUUAUCCAAUGAUCAAACAUUUAUGGGAUGGAGAUGGGCAUGCGUGUCAUUAGCUAGUUGGCGGGGUAACGGCCCACCAAGGCGACGAUGACUAGGGGAUCUGAGAGGAUGGCCCCCACACUGGUACUGAGACACGGACCAGACUCCUACGGGAGGCAGCAGUAAGGAAUAUUGGUCAAUGGAGGCAACUCUGAACCAGCCAUGCCGCGUGCAGGAAGACUGCCCUAUGGGUUGUAAACUGCUUUUAUUCGGGAAUAAACCUUAUUACGUGUAGUAAGCUGAAUGUACCGAAGGAAUAAGGAUCGGCUAACUCCGUGCCAGCCGCCGCCGUAA